CCUACGGGAGGCAGCAGUGGGGGAUAUUGCACAAUGGGGGAAACCCUGAUGCAGCGACGCCGCGUGUAGGAAGACGGUCCUCGGAAUUGUAAACUACGUUCCCCAGGGACGAAAAUGACGGUACCUAGGGAGGAAGCUCCGGCUAACUACGUGCCAGCAGCCGCGGUAAUACGUAGGGGGCGAGCGUUGUCCGGAAUUACUGGGUGUAAAGGGAGCGUAGGCGGGGAGGCAAGUUGGUUGUUAAAUCUACGGGCUAAACUGGUAGUCGCAGUUGAAACUGCAUCUCUUGAGUGAAGUAGAGGCAGGCGGAAUUCCUAGUGUAGCGGUGAAAUGCGUAGAUAUUAGGAGGAACACCAGUGGCGAAGGCGGCCUGCUGGGCUUUUACUGACGCUGAGGCUCGAAAGUGUGGGGAGCAAACAGGAUUAGAUACCCCGGUAGUC
rnacentral:rRNA from 1 species